rnacentral:lncRNA from 1 species
UCCCCCUCCCCUAGUCAAAUAUCACCCCUCCCCUAGUCAAAUAUCAACCUGCACUAGUCAAAUAUCCCCCCUCCCCUAGUCAAAUAUCACCCCUCCCCUAGUCAAAUAUCACCCCUCCCCUAGUCAAAUAUCACCCCUCCCCUAUCAAAUAUCACCCCUCCCCUAGUCAAAUAUCCCCCCUCCCCUAGUCAAAUAUCCCCCCUCCCCUAGUCAAAUAUCCCCCCUCCCCUAGUCAAAUAUCAACCUGCACUAGUCAAAUAUCCCCCCUCCCCUAGUCAAAUAUCACCCCUCCCCUAGUCAAAUAUCACCCCUCCCCUAGUCAAAUAUCACCCCUCCCCUAGUCAAAUAUCACCCCUCCCCUCGUCAAAUAUCAACCUGCACUAGUCAAAUAUCCCCCCUCCCCUAUCAAAUAUCCCCCCUCCCCUAGUCAAAUAUCACCCCGUCCCCUAGUCAAAUAUCACCCCACCCCUAGUCAAAUAUCACCCCUCCCCUAGUCAAAUAUCACCCCUCCCCUAGUCAAAUAUCACCCCUCCCCUAGUCAAAUAUCCCCCCUCCCCUAGUCAAAUAUCCCCCCUCCCCUAGUCAAAUAUCACCCCUCCCCUAGUCAAAUAUCAACCUCCCCUAGUCAAAUAUCACCCCUCCCCUAGUCAAAU